GACGAACGCUGGCGGCGUGCUUAACACAUGCAAGUCGAACGGUGAACGAGGGAGCUUGCUCCCUCCGGAUCAGUGGCGAACGGGUGAGUAACACGUGAGUAACCUGCCCCGAACUCUGGGAUAAGCGCUGGAAACGACGUCUAAUACCGGAUACGACGCGGGAGGGCAUCCUCGCCGGGUGGAAAGAACUUGUGUUCGGGGUGAUUGCGCGGCCUAUCAGCUGGUUGGUGGGGGGGCGGUUCACCAAGGCGGCGACGGGUGGCCGGCCUGAGAGGGUGACCGGGCACAAUGGGACUGAGACACGGCGCAGACUGCUACGGGAGGCAGCGGUGGGGAGUAUUACGCAAUAGGCGCAAGCCUGAUGCGACGGCGCCGCGUGAGGGACGACGGCCUUUGGGUUGUAAACCUCUUUUAGCAGAGAAGAAGCGGAAGUGACGGUACCUGCAGAAAAAGCACCGGCUAACUACGUG
rnacentral:rRNA from 1 species